ACAGCGCCCCGCUCCGAGCUCCCUGCUGCCCCGCUCCGGUACCGAGAACAGAAAGGCCACGGCCCGCCUCCGUACUGUGCGCCUUUUAUUGAGUUCAAUCAUUCGGUGCAAGGUACAGCCAUCGGCACGUCACAACCCGUGCCCGGCGCCCCCCGGUCGCUACCCGCGCUCCUUCAGGCGCGGCCCCUACAGCGGGUCCGGACCCCCCGGCUGAGCUCACCUCAGCUCGGCCAGUGCAUCCAGCCGGCGGACACAGCUACGGGAUGUGUGUGCAAGGAGUGCAAAGCGAUGUGACAGCACAUCUACUGGCUUUACAUAGACUGUGAGCAUUCAAAGCAGUGGCUGUGUACUGCAGAGAGCAGGACUGCAAUUGCCUGUGACCCAUGGCUCAGCUGAGUGUAGCACAACAGUGUGGGCUUACUCUGAACAUGCACAGAAAAUGUCCUAAUACCGGAAACAAUUUGCCUGUGCAGUGAGGAGGAGGAGUUGCAAAUGGACUUGUACCUCUAAGGCCUGUUGUGGAGUGGUUUUCCAAGUACUUCCAAGGCUGCCUUCAAGACUCAGUCACCUGAUGCUGAACUGGAUACAACCUGAGCCAAAUGUCAGCACAGCUUUUUAGCUGGACUGCAGAGGAAGGUAACUGGUGGGGAUAUUGGGAAAUGUUGAGGAGUUGCGCAGAAUGUAUAGGGGUGAUGGUAUCUGCCACAUCUUCUGUUGUGUUUGCUCCAUGCACCUCAGCACGCAUCCCUGCUCUUUGGUUUUGUAUUGCUACACUCCAGCACUUCAUAACUAGUGCUUCUGAAGGAACAGGCACAUAGAACAGGCAUCUGUUGGGUAUAUCCCAGGGAUACAGCCCAAGCAAGCCUUGCCUUGCCUUGCCUUGCCUUAUGGCAUGGUGACUUUUCCCACCUAUUAGCUGUAAUGUGGCCUGAUUAAACGCUUCCCCAGAUCCCUCUGUUUUCAGAGGGCUUGCAUCAAGCAGCAGGGGGGACAGUCUACCCUACUGCCUGAAGGGGCAGGGAAGUUCUGGCUGCUUUGUGAAUCCUAGUGCUCCACAGUGGGAAGAUCUGUGGUCCCCAUCGAGAUGGUCCUUGUCCAUACCAUCCUACAUGCAGGCAGAGUUAAUGCAAGUGAGGGACACCUGAGUGCUGAUAGACAUGGAGGCUGCUUGGAGCCAUAGCUACAGCUCUGCCAGUGACUGCAGCAGGGCAAGCUGGGAGCAUCUCCAAAGGCUGUCAGCUCUGCUCGGGCCUGGUGUCUCAUUGCCAAACAGGUGGUACCUGCAAAUCCUGUCAGGUCAACUGCCACAAGCACUGUUUCCAAAUGGCAAGUCCAAACACAAGGCACAAGGUUACUGAUAGCAAUCUGCCUUCAGGCUUACUAGUUUUUAUCCUUGGAGCAACAGACUCAGAGGAAGGCACAGCUGCAGUCCCCUCCUCUGGAUGUUACUGGUAUUGUAGCGGCACAUCUGUGAACAGGGGUUUACUAGAGAAAUAUGAUAAACAACGUAUGUAGACAGGUCAUAUGCAGCCAUUUCCCUGCUCACAUGGAAGGACUCAAAUACAAGAGUACAUCAGUCAGAUACCCUGCACUUAGGGGUAUGUGUCUUGCAAAAGAAAUUCAUGGAACAGCUCAGGGAACUAUUAAAUGGCACAGCCACUUAACAAUUGCAAAACAGAGUUCAGUUUGUCACUAGGUCUAAAGUCCUCAAUAGCAUAUGUCUACAAAUAUCUAAGGUGUGGGAGGCAAAGGGAUGAGGCCAGACUCUUUUCAGUGGUGUGUGGUGAUAGGACAAGGGGAAACAGCCACAAACUGAAGCACAGGAAGUUCUGCACAAAUGUACAUAAGAACUUCUUCACGGUAAGGGUGACGGAGCACUGGAACAAGCUGACCAGGGGUACUGUGGAGUCUCCUCUGGAGAUAUUCAAGACCUGCUCGGACGCCUACCUGUGCAACCUGGUCUAGGGAGCCUGCUUUGCAGGGGGCUUGGACUAGAUCAUCUCUAGAGGUCCGUUCCAGUCCCUACAGUUCUGUGACUCUGUGAUCUAGGCAUCUCAUUAUUUUUCUCAGUGGAAGUCAGAGUGGUUAAUGUGACCAGAAGACCACUGCACAUCAAGUAAUCAGUGGUCCACAAUACAACUAACCUGAGUGCAACCAGCCCUGUGCCACACUGCACACACAGCACAGCAUCCAGGCCUUCUAGCUGCAGGACUCGCUCGGUCAGCUGUUCUUAUCUAGAGAAGCCUGUGAGUAGCUCCCAUUCAGUACUGGCGAGUAUGCUGCCUGCGUGGCCUUGCCUGUACAGUAGAAUUGGAGAAUACUUUGAGUUGGAAGGGAGCCACAGGGAGCAUGGAUUUCAUCUCCUGGCUCCACACACGAUCAUGCAAAAUUCAAACCACAUUUCUGAGCACUGUCCAGACAUUUCUUGAAUGCUGGCAGGCCUAGUGCUGACCACUGCCUGUGCCAGAGCCUGGCCACCCUCUGGUGAAGAACUUUUUCCUGACACCCAACCUAUCUCUCCCUGACACAGGCCCAUGUCAUUCCCUCAGGUCCUGUCACUGUCACCAGAGAUCAGAGCUGCCCAUCCAUUGCCCCUGUGUGGACCUAUAGGCCACCACAAGGCCUCCCCUCAGCCCUCUGCCCUGGGCUGAACAAACUGUGGGACCUCAGCCACUCUUCAUGUCUUCCCCUCUAGACUCUUCACCAUCUGGGUACCCUUCCUUUGGACUUGUAAGAGUUUUACAGCCUAUAUUAUGGUGCCCAAAUCUGCACACAGAGGUCAAGGUGAGACCACGCUAGAACAGAGCAGAGCAAGACAAUCCCUCCCCUCACGUGGCUUGCAGUGCUGGGCUUGGUGUAUCCCAAGGUACGGUUGGCCCCUUUGGCUGCCAGAGCAUGCUGUUGACUCAUAUUCAACUUGCCAUCAGCCAGAACACCCAGAUCCCUUUCCACAGGGCUGUUCUCCAGCCUCUCGUUCCCCAGUCUGUACAUACAGCCAGGGUUGCCCCAUCUGAGGUGCAGAAUUCAGCACUUGCUUGUUAAAUUUAAUGUGGCUGGUGAUUGCCCAGCCCUCUAAUUUGUCAAGAUCUCUUUUUAAGGCCUCUCCACCCUCAAGAGAAUCAACAGUUCCUCCCAAUUUAUUACCAACAGCAAGUAUUUUGUUAGAUAUUAACAGUGCAGCAAGUUUGAAUGCACACAUCACUUCUGCUUGAUUGUAAAUAUGAUAAAUGGAGCGGUUUUCCUUAAGAAAAUCCAGUAAUAAGUUGAAUGACCAACAGAGAAGGAUAUGUGCUAUGUGCUAUCUGCAUGGCAUUGUGUACAUGGGUCAGAGUCCUGUCCGAUGCUCAGUAUCUAAAGGGAUCAGUGCUCUUAAUGUUAGCUCUAAUAGCAUUUUUAAAUUAAGAUCUCACCAAGUCUUAGUCUCACUGGGAUCAUAACCAACCAGCACCUCCCACUGCAAAUACAGUGACCACCACCAAAUACACAUGUAAGUAA